UUUUUUUUUUUUUUGGUUCACGACGCGGACGAGAUAGCAAGAUGGUCGCUCGCUCACACAGGAGAUGCAUGGCACAUCUUUAGUUUCAAAUUCUCAAUUUGAUUAUCUACUUUUUUGUUUCAAAUUGAGUCGCCGAUCCGCGCUCAUCCUUGCCUCUCUACCAUCAGCUCGCCUUGGCUUCAGGCUAAUUUGCUCUUUUUUUCAUCUGCAAUCUCUGUUGGCUUAUCCUUUUGAGUUCAUUCUGUGACAGAUUCGGUCCUCACAGGGGGAAAGAAGACUUGUUCCAAUUCUGAACUAGAGUUCGGAUGCGUUCCUAGCAGCCAGUUUUACCCCAACCGCAUCGCCAUUUCCCCCAGCUUCAUAAACUGCCACUACUUAACUAGCAGAGGCAGCAACAGAGAUAAAUCCCGAAGCAUCUUCUUUUCUUCACAUAAAUUCCGAUGCGAAUCCGCUAUAAUAACAAGAAAAAUCACAAGGAAGUUGAAAAAAAAAAACAGAGUUCUACACUCAGCAGCUAAAAGAGCAGCGAUACACCCAUUCAGAGGAAGAAGAUUAGUCUCCGUCACCGCCGGCCCCCAAGAGUCAUUCAUAAGCCCCCUAAACACUGUUACAAAAAUUUGGCUUCUCCGGCAUCAUCUACAGCUCGUCGUGGUCGUCAUCGACGCCGCCCUCCUCGUCGGCACCACCACCCGGGGCGCCGCCAGACUUCUGGUACACCGCCGAGAUGAUGGGGUUGCACACGGCCUCCACCUCCUUGAGCUUCUCCUCGUAGUCCUCCUUCUCGGCCGACUGGUUGUCGUCCAGCCACUCGAGGGCCUCCUUGAGGGCCUCCUCAACCUUCUCCUUCUCCUCGCUCUCCAGCUUGUCCGCCAGCUUGUCCUUGUCGCCGAUCGUGUUCUUCAUGUUGUACACGUACGUCUCAAGCUGGUUCCGGGCGUCGAUCUUCUCCUUCACCUUCUUGUCCUCCUCGGCGAACUCCUCCGCCUCCCGGACCAUGCGGUCAAUCUCCUCCUGGCUCAGGCGGCCCUUCUCGUUCGUGAUUGUGAUCUUCUCUGACUUGCCAGUGCCCUUGUCCUCGGCCUUCACGUUUAGGAUACCAUUGGCGUCAACCUCAAAGGUCACCUCGAUCUGGGGAGUGCCCCUGCAGAAUUCACAUUUCAUCAUUGGUCAGGCAACACUGCAUUCAUUCAUUCACUAGUUCAACAAACACACUACUCCGGAUAGCAGCAACGCACCUUGGAGCUGGUGGAAUGCCAGAGAGGUCGAACUUGCCGAGAAGACGGCAGUCCUUGGUCAUGCUGCGUUCACCCUCGAAGACCUGCAUGGAUCACAGACAACACAAGUUAUGACACUUCUAAAAAAAGGUGGACCACAGCUGAUACUGGAGGUUCCAGCAGAGGAGAGAGCAGGAUGCUAAUUGUUACCUGGAUGGAGACGGUGGUCUGCUGGUCCUGGUAGGUGGUGAACACCUGCGACUUCUUGGUGGGGAUGACAGUGUUCCUGGGGAUCAACUUGGUCAUGACUCCACCAACAGUCUCAAUACCCAGGGUGAGGGGAGCCACAUCAAGGAGAAGGAUAUCUGCACCAAAGGCAAAACCACACUUGUGUAAGCAAUGAUCACUAAUGAACUGAAAAAUCUGCUAGCAGUCAGAAAAGGGAGCACAAAAAGAGAGACAAACCUUUGGUCUCAUCACCACCCUCGCCGCUCAAGAUGCUUCCCUGCACCGCAGCACCGUAGGCAACAGCCUCAUCAGGGUUUACACCCUUGCUGGGCUCCUUGCCGUCGAAGUAGUCCCUCAGGAGCUGCUGGACCUUGGGAAUCCUGGUGCUUCCACCAACAAGGACAAUCUCGUGGAUCUGGCUCUUCUCAAGGCCAGCAUCUUCCAUGGCCUUCUUGACAGGGCCCAUGGUCUUGCGGAACAGAUCAUUGUUCAGCUCCUCAAACCUGGCACGGGUCAACGGCUCCGAGAAAUCGGUCCCGUCGAAGAGGGACUCAAUCUCAACACGGACCUGGUGCUGGUUGCUGAGGGCUCUCUUGGCACGCUCAGCUUCCCUCCUCAACUUUCCAAGAGCACGGUUGUCCUUGCUGAUGUCCUUGCUGUACUUCUUCUUGAUCAACUUGAUGAAGUACUCCAUGAUCCUCUGGUCAAAGUCCUCACCUGAAGAGAUGGUACAACUCAGUAUCAAUCAUGCCAACAACAAUGCAAGCACACAGCAAAUGAGCUGACAAGUUGCUCAGAUUCAAGGUAAAUACAACAUGUAUUGAUGACGAAUGAUGAAUUUAUCUCAAAUCAGUGCAUGUAUCAUAAUACUAUUUCAAUGCAGGUAGUUUGCAUACAAUUAUCAUGAUGUCUGAAAUCAUAGCAUAAGCCUAUGAAUGUAUGGCAUUGUCAUGAUUUUAUGCUAUGUCAAUGUUAAAAUACAAUCAACUAAUAAGGUGACAGCAGUAAUCAGCAGCUUAGAUGCGUUGGUAGUCACUAGUCAGCUAGCUUAUUGACAAAAACAUUUCACUCACCUCCAAGAUGGGUGUCACCGUUGGUGGCAAGCACCUCAAACACACCGUUGUCAAUGGUCAAGAUGCUGACAUCGAAAGUACCACCACCAAGGUCAAAGACAAGGAUGUUCUUCUCGCCACCCUUCUUGUCCAAACCGUAGGCAAUAGCAGCAGCAGUUGGCUCAUUGAUGAUCCUAGCAACAUUGAGGCCGGCAAUGACACCAGCAUCCUUGGUCGCCUGCCUCUGCGCGUCGUUGAAGUACGCUGAAAACAAGGACAGAAAGAUGUAAGCCAUGACAUUGAUACAACAAUCACUACAAGCAACCUGCAGAAUGGUUACUGACCAGGAACAGUGACGACAGCAUCAUUGAUCUUCUUGCCAAGGUACGCCUCAGCGGUGUCCUUCAUCUUGCCAAGAAUCAUGGCACUGAUCUCCUCAGGGCUGAAGACCUUGUUCUCUCCAUCCUUGAUCUUGACCUGAAUGUAGGGCUUGCCCUCCUUGUUAACAAUGUUGUAGGGAACAAGUUUCAUGUCCCUCUGGACUUCCUUGUCCUGAAACCUAGACAAUUGGCAUUACAGUUAGGACACCAGAUAUCCAUAGGAAGAAGAAAUUAGAUAAUGAGAUUGUGGGCUAGAGGUAUUACUUUCUUCCGAUGAGACGCUUGACGUCGAAGAUGGUCCGCUCAGGGUUGACAGCUGCCUGGUUCUUGGCAGCCUCACCGAUGAGCCUCUCACUAUCGGUGAAGGCAACCCAUGAGGGUGUGAUACGGUUACCCUGGUCAUUGGCGAUGAUCUCGACAUGACCGUUCUUGUAGACACCAACACAGGAGUAGGUGGUACCGAGAUCGAUACCGAUCACGGUGCCGAGCUUCUUGGUCUCCUCCUUUGCAACUGAGAAUGCAAACAGGGAUCCUGCAUACAGGACAAGAAUGAUUUAAUCGACAUUGUUCACCCAAUUGCUCUAAAUGUUACCAGCAGCUAAAACUGAAAUGCAAUUGACGCAAUACUGACACCAGUAAAGAGUUGAUUCAGAUACAUUCCAAUCAUUCCACUGAAGCUGAACGAUUCUCUAAAGUUAGUCCAACUCUGAUGAAUUAAGUACAAAUUGUAUGACCUUGAUGUUUAGGAGUUGAAUGAAAUCACCGGGUUUGGUUCAUACCCUUACAACUUUCACACGGUUACGAUCAAGCCAAUCACAGAUCGAGGCACCAAUGUAAUUAAAUGAAAUGAAAUCGCUAGCUACUGUCAGUCAGAGACAGUGCAACUGAGUUUCGGGGGAACAAAUCGCACAGCUACACCCAUUCCUCGCGGAACAGAACAACCUACAGGUAUUAGAUCAAAGCGGAACUAAAAACAAAGGCCUAGAGCCCUAGAUCACAGGAACAGGGUACGGGAUCCUAUUCUACCAAUUCAAACUGAACAGUGAACGCCCAUUCCUAGAACCCCGAGUGACCAACUUUCCUGAUCCAUCAGUGUCACCACCAAGCAUACCUCCUCAAUUCACAACCCAAAUCAAUUCGUAUGUAAACACCCCAGAUCGAGGCAAGAGCACCACUAAAUCUGACCCAAUCUCAGAUCCCACAUGAAUGAACACAAACAGACAAGCAAAAACCCCCCAGACAAAACCGCAGGCGGGAGGCGAGAUCGCGCCGCAUCGUACCUGCGAGCAGGACGCCGAGCAGGAACGCGGAUCCGCGAACCCGAUCCAUGGCCGCACACCACCAACGCGCUCCCUUUCCUCUCCUCUGGAAGCUUCUCUCCUCUUCUGUUGUGAUCCCCGCGUUUCGAACUGCGCCUGACGAGUCUGAUGGAGGAGAGAGGAGGGGGAGAGGCUUAUAAAGUAGGGGUGCCGUGAGCGGGGCUCGGGAUCCCGCUGCGACCGUCGCGUUGGCCGGGACGUCAUGAGUCCGACCUGGACCAGUAGGGGUGCGACGCGUGGACGCCCGAGCCAAUCGCGGUGGACUCUGUGCUGGGGCCGCGGCGGCCGUCCGUGCCGCGCAUCCGACGGCCCGGAUGGCCUCCGACGCGCGGAGUUGUGGGAUUGGUUGGGGUCGCGUGGCACAGGCCCUCUCGCACGGUGGCGGCGUCGGAGUGGGCGGGACACGUGGCGCGUGCUGCUACCAGCCAGCUGACACGUGGGCCCGGGGCUCGUCACAUGCGCCAGUGUCAACAAAAUAUCGAUUAAUCGGUUGAAAAUUUUAAGAUACUUUUAACUUGAUCUGAUCUCGCUUUUACAGGGGAUUCUGAUAGACCAGAUGUUGCUAAAAGGAAAGCAUUUCCACUGCAUGUUCUAGGUUGCCGAACAGACAGACUUUGUAAAGCUUUUGGAUCGCGUGGCAUGAUAUCAUUCGGUGCUCCGAUGUCGUGUUUUUCUUUUUCUCUAAUUUGCCCUUUUUUCUCGUACUACUCCCGCUGUCAUUUUGGACAUGUGCAUCCAAUAUAUCUGUACUUUAGUCGGAUAUUUACUUGAUUAUUUCAAACGAGCUUAAGAAAAACGGUACAUGCCGAUUUUUUUUACAAGUACACCCUCCGUUACAGUUCCAAAAUGUAGAUCGUUUUAGCUUUUCUAAAUACAUAGAUUUUGCUAUUUACCUUACAUUUUGAAACAUAUGGAGUAGUUUUAAAAUAUUGCUUGCUCUAUUCCAAAAUAAUGAGCACCUCUAAUUUAUCCGAAGUGGAUCCAUCUUUAGUUUAACUAUAAGCUUGUACAAAAACUUAACGAUAUUUAAAAUAUGAAAUUACUAUUAUUGGACCCAUUAAUGACAUACAUCCCCCAAAACUAAGCUUUUCUUGGGAAAACUAAGUUUAAUAUAAUUGUGGUGUCCCUCGAGCAUAAAAUGAAAAAGUCGGACGAAGAUCGAACCGAUCAGAAUAAUGGUCAAACGGUCCAACCAAUGGUUCAUUAUUUAUUAAUAUAAUAUUUGUUUCUCAUGAUUUAUACCAGUAAUUUGCAUGUUUUAUUACCAAACCAUACCACAUAUGACAUAAUAAGAUGGGAUAACAUAAAAAAUAAUGCCGAACUAUUUGCUGAUUCACUAAAAAACGGUUCUAGUUCACCGGUUUGACACAAAAGUGGCCGGUUUGACCUGUUCACGCCCAUCCAAUUGCAUGACCGAUCUUUUUAUUUAACUGAACAGAUCUGGUCACACGUUCAUGGUUUUUCCGGUUCAAACGAUGAACCCGUUCGGCUUUUUGUUCUAUGCCCUCAAGCCGUCCGUCCCCCGUUGUUGCUCGUGUCAUCAUGUGCAGUAUUAGUCUAUGAAUUUGAUCUGCGGGAGUACGUGCUGUUCGUAUUAUUUGAUUUGAAGCUGAAGCACCAUGUUUUUUUUUCCCAAUUUGAAAUGGAUCUUUAGCAUGCGGGCUACCAAUCAUUAGGAAAAGCAUCCAUGCAUUUGAGUGAAUUUUCAGAGGGUUGACACGAGAUUAGUGAAUUUGACUAGAAGUGGCCCGGAAGAGGAUAAUAUGCCAGGAUUCAUCAGCAAAAGCAUUCAAUGUAAUGUAGAGUAAUAUAAUAUCUGAAAAGAACAAAACUGAUCAACAAAACUUCAGCUCUAUUCGCUUCAGCUUAUCAACCGGCUUAUCAGCCACCGAACAGUAUUUUUCUUUCACAAUAAAUCAGUCGUUUCAGUUUUUCAACCGGCUUAUAAGUCCAGCCGAACAGGCCGGAGAUCCUUUUAUAGUAGUACACGUGUGAAGGAUCAAAGAAGUAACGUGCACGAUGGCAGAACAGGAAGCCAUUAUAAUUUUUAAUUGCAUCCUUCUCAUGGAGUGGAGCCAAAGGGACCCCAUCAAUCAAGCAGUGAUCCGGACGAGGCUCUCGGUGUAGGGCCUGACGUUGACGUUCCAGAGCUUCUUCCACCUCCGCGCCCUGCUGCGCGCCCUCGUACCUCAUGCAACCCAUCUCGCACAGCACCUUGAGCUCCGAGCUCGGUGCCUCGUAGCUGUAGAGAUCCAGUUGGUUCCAGAGCAACACCUGGCCACCGGGAAGAAGCGCCAUCGGGUGGCAGAGGCGCGGGAAGUGGUAGGAGUAGCGCCGCUCCCACUGGCCGUGCCUCCCAUCGUCGUCGAUCGCCAUCGCCCACACAGUCAUGGUUGCAGGCGUCCCACUGGUAGGGGCCGUCAGGCAGAGCUCCCCGCGCAGCUCGUCGAUCAAGCAGGCGUCACCGAUCCCAGUCCGGCAGCGCGGUGACGCUGAACGACUCGUCCGCCAGGUUAAAGCGGAGGAGGCCACCCCGUGCAGUCUGUUGCUGCUGGUGGCGAGACUUGUCGAUGCGCCAGAACAAAAACCCUUUGAUGGUAUAAGGCCAGUCUGCCAUCUCUUGAUGGGGCACGGCAGAUCAUCCGGCGUCUCCCUCCACGCGCCGCCGCUGACGGUGAACACCUCCAUGCCCAUACGGUAGAUGUUCGCGUCGGCGUCGAUUGACCGGAAGAAUGCCUGAACCACCUUGUACCUGCCGGUGCGCGGGUCCAGGUCCAGACCGGAGCAAUGGCAGGCUGCUUCUUCUUCUCGCAUUGGAUUGUUGCGGCUGUCAGGCAGCGUGAUGGCGUCCCUGGUGGCCGGGUUGAAGAGGUAGAGCUUGGUGUCGUGGGGACGAGCACCAGGCCAUCGCAGUGGGUGAAGUAGCACAGCCGGCUGAAGUCACCACUAAAGUCCUUGGCAUGGAGGAACUUUGCCGCCUGACCAUUGGACGGCUGCCACUGGUAGAAGCGGACGUGGUUGGAGAAGGUGCUUGGCCAGCGCUCCCCCGGGAUGAGGUAGUCCAGGGUGUCGAGGGUGAUGAUCACGCUCGGGUCCUGCUCCCAUCUGGAGGUGCGCGCGGAUGAAGACGGGGUCGGAGAUGGUGGCUCGCCAGGCCUUGCAGACAGACUUGCAACGCACCAGGGACUUGACAGGCAGCCGCGCCAGGAUCUCCUCGGACAAUUCAGGAGUCCGCCGCCUUGGAAUGCUGCCCUUCUUCCGCUUCAUGCCCGUCUUCUGCAGUUUCAUGGCGUUACACAUGGAUGCAGCAAGGGCAAGCGUACAGCAUACAUGGACUUCCUGUAUCUAUGUUCGCGAUACGCUCCAUGUUUCUACUCCGAGCAGGACACGGCUUCAGCAACAGUCUCGGAGCAGAGAAACUUCCUUCUUCCAGAGUUUUUCUCGUUUUUGUUUUUUUUUUUGCGAGGAUUCUUCCAGAGUUCUUCACAACCACUAAAUGGAUUAUUAUAUAUUAUAUAAUAAUAAAAGGACUCAAAAAAGAAAAGAAAAUAUGUCAUUCAAAGGCAAGAAUCUUGCAAGAGACAGCAUUAACUAACAUUCUACCAACAAUAAUGGUCCAGAUCAGACUUUCCAUUAAAAAGUGCCAUCGUCAAAAUACACUGAUAGGGUAAGGACAUUACAUUGACUACCACAAACAACACAGAUAACAAGUUCCCUAUAAAACUCGAGCACCACUCUACUAUAGUACUAUCAAGACUAGAUCAGCUGCAUUACCAUACACACACACACACACACACCAUUCUCAUCUAACUAUACCAACUUACAUAUAGCCUAGAAUAUACACACAUGUACAGAACAGCAUGGCACACCUCCCCAACAUAGGAAAAAGAUGCCACCACUACUGAGCUUGUCCUAAAUCAUCACCGCCCGAUAGCAGCCAGCGCAGAUACUCCUCUCCGUCAUCCAAUGACGACGCCUCUCCAGGAAUGGUCACCCUCUUGCGUGUCAAUGUCUCCACCGUCAAUGCUUUCCUCUUUCGCCCACCUCUCGGACGCGAGCGCAGCUGCUCGUCCAUCUCCUCAAAGUCUCCCUGCACGUGGUAGCUUGUUACUGACAAUUUCACAUGAUUUGAGCACAAAACAUGAGCAAUUAUGCUCCCAACAUACAAUUCACUAGCUGGUAGUUUGGUCAAUUGAGGGCUUAACUCUAAAGACAGGCACAGUGGCAAAGGCCACUUAUAAUCUUUUUUAAAAAAUAACAUAGGUCAGUAGUGGGACUCACUUCAACAUAUACAUGAGCGCUGGAUUUCUCAUGGUUGUCCCUGACAUGCUUGUAGGUGAACGCCUUGCCACACCCAGCAACUCGGCAUAUGAAAAGCUUCAGUUGGUCAUGGCAUGCCUUCAUAUGCUUGGUCAGAUUUGAUUUCUGCAAACAAACACAUAAAUGAAUAUCUCAAUUCAAAAUCUGCAAAAUGGUGAAGUAUUGGGCUGAAAAGAUUGCCAGAUACAUUUUGGGAUCUAUAAAUAUUGCUUACAUUGGAAAAGGAGCGCUCACAACCCUCAAAGGUGCAUUUCAUCCUUGCACCAGUGGGCACCUCAUCAUGGGCUUGUAGGUGCCGCUUGAUGUUCUUCUUCAGGUGCUUUUCCCCACAUAUCUCACACUGAACAUGCUGAUGGCAAGAUUGGUUAUGAGCCUUCAGGCAUUCAACAUUUGUAAACAUCUUCAUGCAGCCUGGUUCACAGCACACUACCUCCACAUAGUCCAAUUUAACUGCAAGAAAAUAUCACAAAGAAAACACUCAAAUUUGGGGAUCCCAAAAAGCUGGGGGAAAAAAACUGCAGACCUCAUGAACUUAACAGCAACUAAGUUUCAGUUCAUUCAAUUUAAUAUCCUAGUUAUAUUUCUGUCAGUACCAACAUACCAUGUGACUCCUCGUGUUUCCUCAACUUUGAGAGAUACUUGAAAGCCUUGUUACAGCCCUCCUCUUUGCAAAUAAACUCCUGGCUGCUCUUAGUGACAUUUUCAUCCUCAUGGAAUUCUUUAACAUGUCGUUGCAUAUUUGCCUUGAUACUGAACCUCCUAUCACAACCAUCCACAGUACAACCAAACAACUUGCCCUGAUGCUUAAGCAUAUGUCUAUUCAAGUGAUCUUUCCUUUUGUAGCUGAAGGGGCAGUCUUCAAGUGGGCAAAUGAAGAGUCUCUACAAUCAAAACAAGAAUAUGGAUUAAGAACAAAAUAUUUCCAUGUUGGUUUGUUUGUAGGUGUGCUAGAUGCUUCGAACAUUUUAACUAAUCGAUUAUCUAAAACAACUCAGAAUUCUAAACACACAGGAUCUGUUAGCAACAUCAUUUCACUGUGGCCGUUAAAAUGGAAUGUACCAUCAUGUUGAGAAUAGCAUCCAGAAGAAACGGUGUGACACAGAAAAUGGAAGAAAAGCUGUUCAAACAAAAUAGGUAAAAAGCAUAUGCUUCUAAACUAUGUAACAUCAUGUGAUGAGAGCAGAAGUAACAUAACAAAGCAAAAAAAAUAAAUGUCAACUUUGUGAAUUGUGACUACUACUAUACCAGGACUAUUGUCACCAUAGCGAGCUGAGAACCAAUGAAGAAUGGUCCUAGCUUUCUGAGACGACAUUUCAAUAUUGGAUCCUCAAGCAUCUGCUUAAGGCUCCCACAAGGAAGCCUGUGAAGACAUGGCAGAAUGGAGGAUAUUUCCACCCUUAUCUCCAAAGAAUCCAUAACCCACCUAAUAUCACAGCACUAGACCAAGUUCAGCACUUCGCAUCAGUACACUAUUUUCCUUGCAUGGUGACAAUGUAAAAGGACUAUCGUCACCAUAGCGAGCUGAAAACCAAUGAAGAAUGGCCCUAGCUUUCUGAGAUGACAUUUCGAUAUCGGAUCCUCAAGCAUCUUCUCAAAGCUCCCAUAAGGAAGCCCAUGAAGAUAUAGCAGACUGAAGGGAGGAUAUUUCCAGCCUUAUCUCCAAAAGAUCCAUACCCAUCUAAUAUUUGCAGCACAAAACUGCUUAAUGUCAAGGAACAAAACUCGACACCAUAACAAGCUAAAGGAGCCCAUUUAGCGACCCAACCUUUCUGAGAUGAUAUCUUGAUGUAGGAUCACCAGAUUGUCAAAGUCCCCCAAAGUUAGAAACCCAAAUAAAUAAAUAGAGAAUAAGGCAACAUAGGAGGAAAUGAACUCCCAAAUUCACUGAACUGAUCCAUAACAAAAUGUGCAACGUAAACUAGCACCGUCAACCAUAAAACAGUCAUGCGAGAAGAGAAGUAAUUCCUUCAUUAGAUAUUAAGGGGUGCAAUGUUUAUCCAAGGAGCAUCAUGGUAAAAAGAAAACGAAAUUUUGUACAAGGACAAACCUACUCAAUGAGCGUGAAGGAGGCAACCUUGUUGAAGCUUCACAGGUGGUCAUCCCAACCUGCUACUAGUUCAGACAAGAUGAAAAAUUGCCUCAUCGCAUUUUGGAGUUCUUUAAAUGGGAUCCAAUGCUUCACGCUGUUAACUAUCUAUACCCUGCAAAACAACUUUAUUUAGUGAAUCAUACGUUAAAAAGUAACGAUGCUACAGUUAGCCUCAUAAAUGCAGAUCGUAUGUUUAAAGCAUGUUCCUUGUAAAAUUUAAAAAUCGGACAUGUUUUAGUCCAUCAAUGCCUACACAAUGAAACAAGUCUGCCCAUACUGGACUCACAGAGGAUGAACAAUUCAACAUUGAAUACCAACCUCAUUAGAGUGACUUUGCAUGUGCUGCUUCAGAUGAGCCGGUUUCUGGAAACAAGCUCCGCACUCUGGGCACCUAUGUUCCUCCUCGCAAAUUAUCUUUUCUCCAUUUGAGUUGUAUGUUUCUGAUUUGUCCAGUUCAUCCUGCAGGUAAAUUUUGGAGAAAACUCUGGAGAUUAUUGCAAUGCUACAAAACAAUGAUAAUACAAAGGUAGGCACUACAAAGUUAAAAUGAUGUCAAUAUAUAUAACUCAAGAGAGCAAACGGAUACUAGAAUACAAACAAGAUAUGGAUAUCAAUAGUCUUUAUUAAGGCUAAAGGCAUGUACUGGCACAUGCAUCUAGUAAAUCACAGAAUGCUUGUACCUUAUGAUGUGCAACCAUGUGAGCUUGAAUCAAGCAUUUCUUUGACCUGACAACAGUGCAAAAUUCACACUUGUAGCGCCUUAUAUCCUUGAAACCCUUCUGCCCGACACUUGCAUCUCCAUCGAUCUCAUCUCCAGAACACAUCUAACAAUAAGAGAAUCACAAUUAAAAAAUAGGUGGCAUGCAUAAUCAUGUGCCGUAAUGUAGGAAGCAGCUGAACGAAACAUUUCCAGAUAAAGAAUACAAUGCAAUAAAAUAAAAUAAGAGGAAUCAAGUUAAUAAAUAAAACUCGUGUAUAUAGCUGUCCUGCUCUUCUUUACACAACUAAUGAAAUACAGCUGUACCAGAUUCAUAAACUAAAGGAGAACAGCAUGCUAUUUAGAAGAAAUUUCUCUGAAAACAUUGUGUUCGCAAUAAAACACCCAAUAACUGAAACAAUUGCAACAUAUUGCCAUCAAUGUACAAGCACUGAAUCUCUACAAUUUUGAUCUAGAGUCACAUGGAGACAAAUUGAUAAGAUACCAAGUACAAUAAGAUUGUCAAACACAAUAUAGGAACAAAAAGGCUAUUUAGUGCGACGACCCAUAUGUCACGCUAGAAAUGGACAGUAUAUGAUUAUAGAAUCUAGACUAUUAUUUCUCCAUCAACAGAGUAUGAUCUAAGAUCCAUCUUAAACUGCCUGGUCAUGCACUCCAAGGUUUCGUAAAUUUCCCUUCGAGCGUGGUGUGUCUUGUCCUCUACCAAGAACUCAUGGACAGCACCAUCAACUUCUAUCCAACUACACCCUGGUUUUUUGAAGACCUUCCUAGACAACAUUUCCUUCCUCAUCUCUCGAGCUUCUCUCCAUUUAUUUGACGAGGCAAACAUGUUCCAAAGAAGGACAUAAACCCCAUCAUCCCCUGGUUCUCUCUUUAAAAUUUCCUUUCCAGCAAUCUCAGCCAACCUGUCAUUGCGAUGAACCAGGCAAGCACUAAGAAGUGACCUCCAUAUAACAAUAUCAGGUUCCACAUUCAUAUCAGCUAUUAGAGCUUCUGCUUCCUCUAGCAGUCCUCCCCGUCCUAACAGAUCAACCAUGCAUCCAUAGUGCUCAAGGUGGGGACCUAUAUUGUAUAUUUCACGCAUUGUACCAAACAACUCUCUACCUUCUUCUAUUAAUCCAGCAUGGCUGCACGCAGACAAAACAGAGACAAAGGUUACAGUGUUUGGAACUACCCCAGACCUAAUCAUGUCCCAAAAAAGUUCAAGAGCUUUCCUCCCAUCCCCCUGGACAGUGAAACAUGAGAUCAUAGUAGUCCAUGUGAAAGCAUCCUUUGAUUUAACUUCUUGGAAUACGGAAAAUGCCAUCUCAAUGCUUCCACUCUUUGCAUACAUAUCCAUGAGAGCAUUGCUAACAAUUAUGUUUGUGCUGGCAUUACAUUUGCUUCCAUAUCCAUGAAUGACACGUCCUAGAUCCAGAGCGCCAAUGUCAGCACAAGCUGAGAGUACACCUACAAUUGUGACAUGAGUAGGACGAUGGCCCUCCAGUACCAUCCUACCAAAAAGCUCUAGAGCCCGUACGGGCAGCCUGCCUUGUACAUGACCAGUGAUCAGUGCUGUCCAAGAGACUACACUCUUCACAGGCAUCUGAUCAAAGAAUGAUAAUGCCAAAUCCAAACCAGCGCACUUGAUGUAACCAUGCAGCAUGCUACCCCAAGUGAUCUCAUCUUUCUGAAACAUUCUAUCGAACACCAUUACCGCGGACUCAAACCUCCCACAUCGACUAUACAUAUCAACCAACGCAUUUCCAACGACCACCUCAGAGUCCAAUCCAAGCCGGAAAAUCAGGCCAUGCACCGCCCUACCAACCUGCUGGUCGCCAACCCCACCAGCAGCCGAGAGGGCACCAACAACAGCAAAGCCAUCGGGGCGGGGACCAUCAGCAACAACACGUGAGAACAAGGAUACAGCCUCACGGUGGUGCUCUAACUGGAUGUGGAGGGACAUGAGGCUAGUAAAGAAGACAAGGUCAGGGCGGGGGAUCUCAUCAAACAACUUGCGGGCGUCAGCUGCUCGGCCAAAGUCAGCAUAACAGCGGAAGAUUUUGCAGGAAACGGACUGGUGAUGUGGGUGGAGACCAUGCGCAACGGCCUGGGCGUGGAUUUUCUGGAGCUCUCUUAGCGUUUUGCACUGGGCGAGAAAGUGGUGGCAAAUGCUUCUAUUCAUCUACCUCCCCGUCUCCUCAAGGCAACAUAAUCUGUCCAGGUCUAUGAUCUUGCUCUCUCGAACGGCGACACCUGGAAUUAUAGCUGAGAUUACUGGGAAAACAACAACAACUACAAAGCGACCUAGUAGGCUAAUAAAGACGAUCUGCAGCUUCUUUCAUCGUUGUUUCACCACCCACAAUCAAUUUCAGUAACAGGGAUUCAAAUUACCAUCGCUAGCAGCCAGAUCAAUGAGACAUACAACAACACAGGCAAACCCGAGACUACUACGACCAACGAGAUCGGCGAGCGAAUCGAGGAAGACGCGGGUGAUGCUCACCUCGGAUUUGGAGUCUGAGCACACCGGCGUUCGCCUCGCUUGCAAUUUGCAGCUUGAGUGAGAAUGGAGUGGAGAGCGACCAGAGCCUGGUGGCGGCGGCGGCGAAUGGGAGAGGGGAGGGAGGCUCUCUUUCAUAACGUGGUUGGUCACCUCGAAAACCCUAGAGGUCAGAUGGGCCUGGGCUGUUGUGGGCCGAAAGCCUACCUUAAUCUCUCUCACGUGCGGCCGUAUGACAACAUCUGGGCCCCCAUUUCUGAUUCCCUCUUGCAAGGAUGAAGCCCACCAGCCCAUCUACCUCGCUUCGGCCUCUCCCUGCCUACCGGCGAUGCUCGGCGUGUCCCCCGUGUCCGUACACCGGCGGCGACAGGCGGCGUGCGCUGAACAGUAAGAAAAUCCCUUCCCAUCUUUCCUGUAAUCUUGUUCACUACUUCCAAUGCGUUGCCGUCUAGAUGGUCUCGAGACGCGGGCAGUAAUCAGUAGGGGAAAUCGCAAAACCUAGAAUUUUUCCUCUUUUCCCCAGUCCUCGCCAACCGAUGUUGCUUCGCAUCGGUCAUCAAAUCCUUGGUCUCGAUCUGAACCACAAUUGGGGAAAAAUUAUUCUGUAUUUACAGUAGCUGGUAACUACAGUUAACCUCGUUACAAAAAUCCAAGAGGAACGGGGCAUUUACAUAUGGUCAGUAACCUCACUACAAAAAUGGAAUAAGGAGGAGAAUUUAGACAAGGAUUGUCUGUCAAUUUGUUUCCUUAUGACCUUCAGGGAGCUUGUUUUGCUAGGAACGCGUCUACCUUCGAGUUCACAUCCGAAGCCAAGAACCUUAUGCACAUUGGUGGAGUGACAUGGUAGAUCCCCAACAAUGAGUAUGGUAUUGCAAAUAUCCCUUCACCACAGAUCAGUCCUGAUGCCACUACUGGUGCAAGAAGCUCUGCACUUUCAGUGUCGACCUUGUUCCACGCUAGAAGUAUUAAACUGCCAACGCACAUGUCUAUGGACAAGGUAGGAUGUAUGAGGAAAGCCACUGACAUUGCGGCGACGCUCGGGAUGUAGUGUUGGAUGCGCCACUUCUUAUGUAUGGCGACCUCCUUGAUAGCACUCGUGGCUAUUGCUAUGAAGAAGACGGGUAUGCUGAGUGCAAGGGAAUGCUUUGGUAGUUUGAUGAAGCCUCCAGCACCGACCAGGGCUAUGAUGCGGUAGACCCUGGCAAAUGGCGCUGGGUAGCUUCCCAUGGAGUCAUUUAGGUAGCAAUAAUAGAACACCCAGAAAAUAAUUGGGUUGAUGAUGCAACCUAUCGCUGUUCCAAUCACCUGAGCUAGGAACAAGGACCUUGGCGAGGUGAGUGUGAGAUAGCCUGUCUUGAGAUCUUGCAUGAAGUUCCCAGCUGUGGCAAUGAUUAUCGUCAUGAUUGCACAAAUCACAAGGCCACCGAUCACCCCACCCUUUGCAGCAGUGAUCCAGAACCCAAAUAUCAGGAUCACAAUCUUUGCGUAUUGAGUGUAGAGGUUUAGGUCUGUGAUACCAGUACCAUAGGCAUUGCAAAAUGCCAAGAGAGGGGCAAACAUGUAAGCAACGAUGAUGUGCUGAUAUUUUAUCUGGCUAUAGAUGUGUGGAAUCGCAAUUGUGGAAACAGUUGCCAGUAUAGUGUAGCCAAUGAUGGCGUACGAGAAGGGAAUAUUAUCUUUGAGAAAUAUAUGUGUCCUGCGGCGAUCAUCAAAGCUAAGGACAGGGUGUCUUAUGGCAUCCACACUCCUGAAGGCAUUGGUUGUUGCUGCUAACUGCUGUUGUUUCUUACGCAAAUUGCUCAUUGAUUUGAAUGGUAUCAUGAGAAGCUGGAAUAGACCAUCCCCAAGCAUCAUUGCUAUGGUUAUCAGCACCUGUUUCACAUGAAUGAGAUUUCCAUAGGUAAACAUUGAAGGCAAAUCCCUAACAGGAAAAAAAACUAGUUGGCUGUCAAAUUGUUAACAAUGCUAUUAUGUUGGUAAAGUAAGUAACAUUGUUACCUUGUACCCAUAGAUGCCCAUCAUACUGUUUUCCUUGUAAAAUGCAUUGUACCAUACUCCUUUCUUGGAUUCAAUGUAAGGCAACAUGAUUGCCGAGGAGAGGAUGGUACCAACGAGCAUUGACAUACUUACUACUGUUGGGCAGAUCAUUCCAACACCAACAUAAGUUGCAGAGAAAUUAAAGUAGAAGCUGCAAGAAUAUAAAACAAUCUCAUGAUUAAUUAAAAUUUUCAUGCAGAUUGUGUGUUACUGGAAGGUAUGCCAUAUGCUUCCCAAAAAAAAAUAUGUGCCUUUAGAAUUGGUUUUCAUUUUUAUUAGCAUUACUACUGAAAUGUCUUUGAAAGGAUCUUCCUUAGUUUCUGUCAAAUAAAAUUGCACAUAUGAUUGCUAGUUUCCUAGUAAGAUACACAUCAGAUUCGAUUUCCCUCCCUCAUAUUUUUAAAUUUUGUUUUACUUAUCCCUUACCCUUUUUGGUAUGCUUUGAGUCCAAACGUUGGGAUGGCAGCAAGUCCACAGUUACGUCCACCUGUGUAGAACCAUUGAAAAAUAUCCCAGCACAGACUUCCUGCUAAGGAUGUAAACAUGGCAGACACUUGCCUUCUGCAACCAGAAAGUGCAGAAAUGUAAGCAAUUUAGUAAUACGAUUACAAGUUCGUUAGCCAAAUUAUAGCAGUUAAUGUCUCACUUUGCUUCCUGGGCUCCUUGGGGGGUGUGGAAGCUGUUGAUGAGGUGUGCUGUAGCUGUGCCACUUGCAUAUGUUAGCCGAUGGCGGAUGAUCAUGGCCUAGGAACAUGCAAAAAAAAUCAAGAAUUUUUUUAGAGAGGAGCCCAGCUGCCAAGUUUGUAACCUUGCCUGCGUUUAUUCAUUAACUGAACUGAUAUUGAUUUGAUUAUUUUGUAUGAGCUAAUAUGGUAGCUGAUAUUGCAGUGGGAGUUAUUAUUACCUUCCUCAUGGGAACAAUGGCAAACAAGCCAACAAAGCUGAUGAGAAAAUAGAAGACUAUCAAUUUUCCUAGAUUCGGUGAACUGACAUUUAUUUCAUCCGGUCCAGCUUUGGUCUCCGUUGCUUCUCUUGGGCUCAUUGCGAGCAUGAACGAUCCAAAACCACCUGAUAACUUGUUAGCAUACAGGUGAGCCAUGGUCGCAUCCAUUUUUUAUUUAAUGAUGAUCGCGUUAAUGAAGAAACUGCUACAAGCUGUCAUCCAGUUUUUCAGAUGCAUCUAUAUACUCACCACUGGACACCAUGCUGGCACAGGCAACCACACAUGUCUGGAUGAUGGUGUUCUCCUGGCGAGUGAAGGGCUGGUGGAACACAUCAAAUCUCCGUAAUAUGUGCGUCCAAAUCUUAAGGAGAAAGAGGCUUAGCAUGGCUGCUGGGAUGUUGAGCGGUGACACCCCCCCAGACAUGAAGACAAGAUUCAUGCCCACAGUACUUAAUAUGGUGCCGAGUAAUAUGCUAGCCACCACUGAUCGCACGGUGAUCUGCUCUGUCCAUGCUUGAACUGGCUCUCCUUCAAAUGCGCGCUCUGUUGAUGGGCCCUCCCUUGGAUCGCCAACUGACUCCAUGCUUCAAUUCCUCCCUUUCCUCUCUCCAACAAAUUGCAUAUGACAACUUGUCAGGCAGAGUUUGAUGGGCUGCGUGAAAUGGUGGAAGAUUGUCUUCAGACAUCAAUUGCUCAAGCCGAUCUUCAGAAUUUUGAUUGGCUAAGAAGGUUUGGAUCUUUAUUUAUAUGAAGAACGAGGUUGCUUAUUGAGGGACAAUUCCAACCGUACAGUGCAGUUGCAGGUAAUUAAAAGGUGGCUAGAAGAGAUAUUUCAAUUUAAUUGUGUCUCACAUGUUCCACUCUAUUUCCCUGCUAUUUUUAGUAGCGACGCAUCCAUUCUUGUCAUUUUCGUUGCAUGGCUAGUCUGUUGGCUUUGGGGUGUGUUGCAGAUUAGUCCCUCAAAGAAGGCCACAACUGUGAGCAAGGCAGGCUAAGGUAAGCUUUAAGGCUGCAAAGGCAAACAGACUAUACUUAGAAGGAACAGCGCUCCAAAAUUAACUACCAGGCUCCCUAUAUAAGCCUUGUGCCCCCCUUCUCUCCCAUUGCAUCCAGCAUUUGAUUCUGUGUGUAUGCCUUGGUUUAUUAAUUUUUAAUUAAUAAACCAAGGCAUGCACACAGAAUCAAACAAACAAUUGGAGCUUAUUGCUCCAUCAAAACGAACUAAUUAUAUUGGUCCUCACCAUGGAGCAUGAAGAUGAUCCCCAAGAAGGAAUCUCAACGGAGCGCGCCUUUGAGGCAGACCCCAUCCCUUCGCUGUCAGAGACCAUCACCCUGCGGUCCUUGGUGGUUAGCUUCAUCCUUGGUGUCGGGCUCAGCGCCAUCGCCAUGAAGAUCAGCCUCAACUCCGGAUUCCUCCCACCGCUCACCAUCCCAGCCGGCCUCAUUGGUUUCUACCUCUCCCGUGCAUGGAUCCGUGUUCUCGAUAGCUUUAAGGUGCCACACCUGCCAUUCACCCGCCAGGAGAACACCGUCAUCCAAACCUGUGUCGUCGCCUGCUCCGCUAUUACAUUCAGUGGUAUAUGUUUAUAAGCACAGCAUGCAAAAUUUUGGUUACUCUUUCAUGUCGCUAUCCUAUUAUAUGGUUGUAACAUGUUUUGCUUUCAUAUUCAGGUGGGUUUGGGACGUACAUCCUCGCAAUGGGCAAGAGUGCAGCUGGAGGGGACACAAAGAAUAUUGUUGAGCCAAACAUUGGCCGGUCCAUCACUUUCCUCUUCCUUGUCAGUUUUUCUGGCCUGUUCAUCCUCAUGCCUCUGAGGAAGGUCAUGAUCAUUAGACACCGGUUGACAUACCCUAGUGGCGUGGCCACAGCACACCUUAUCAAUAGCUUCCAUACCCCUCAAGGCGCCAGCAACGCAAGGCACGUAUCUUCUGCUGAAUGAACUCAAAAAUGAAUAAAUGCAUUUGUCGGAUCGAACAAGUAUGCAUGCUUAUAUAUUCAGUUGUGUGCUUGCACUUACAGGCAGCAAGUGCGCGUGCUGUUCAGAUCGCUGGGGGGAACCAUCUUGUGGGAUGUCUUCCAGUGGUUUUUCUCUGCUGCGAGGGACUGCGGCUUCAGAGCCUUCCCCACUUUCGGCCUUGAGGCAUAUAAGCGCGGGUACGCAACAAGCACCGCCAGCCAUUUCACCUUGAUGUUGUAUGGAACUAACAUUCAAUUUCAUUGGGCAGAUUCUACUUCGAUUUCUGCAUGACCAAUGUCGCCAUCGGCAUGCUAUGCCCAUACAUGAUCACUGCCUCCUUAUUCAUCGGGAGUGCUGUCUCGUGGGGGAUUGUUACGCCAUACCUUGCAACUAAGGCAGGUGUCUGGUACUCUGCUGACCUUAGCCCCGGAAGCCUUCGCGGCAUCAGGGGCUAUAAGAUCUUCAUCGGAGUGUCCAUGAUACUCGCCGAUGGCCUCUUCAACUUCCUAUCCAUCAUGUUCUGCACAUUGUGCGCCAUGUACAACAGGCGCAGCCAGCCAAUGCAAGGUGGUGGCGUUGAUGAUGACGGUGACACGCAGUUGCCGUUCCACAACCUCAACGCCGCUGAGCAGCAGAAGGCGAUGCAGAGCUUCGAUGACCGCCGCAGGGCGCAGGUGUUUGUCCGGGACCAUAUACCCAACUCGGUCAGCAUCCUCUGCUUCAUCCUCCUGGCGGUGGUCUCCACCAUCGCCAUCCCAUACCUCUACCCGCAGAUCAAGCCCCACCAUGUGACGCUCAUCUACCUGGCUGCCCCGGUGUUUGCCUUCUGCGACGCCUAUGGCUUCGGCGUGACCGACAUGAACCUGUCGAGCACCUACGGCAAGCUGGCUAUGCUCGUCGUCGGCUCGGUCGUGGGCCGUGCCAACGGCGGCGUGAUUGCCGGCCUCGUCUCCUGCGGGGUCGUGAUGGGGACCAUGUCCAGCAGCAACAACCUGAUGCAGGAGCUCAAGACGGGGUACCUGACCCUGACCUCGCCGCGCGCCGUGUUCAUCAGCCAGGCGAUCGGCACGGCGCUCGGGUGCGUCGUCAACCCGCUCAUGUUCUGGGCCUUGUACAAGGUGCAGGACGACGAGUCCGAGCUGUUCGACGUGCCCUACGCCCGGGUGUACCGCGGCAUCGCCAUGCUGAGCUCCGGCCAGCGCGGGCUGCCCAUGCACAGCCUGUGGCUCUGCAGGACCUUCUUCGCGCUGGCGCUGGCGCUGAGCGUGCUCCGGGACGUGGCGGCGCGGAGGCGGUGGCGCGUGGCGGAGUACCUGCCGAGCACCAUCUGCGUGGCCAUCGCCUUCGUGGUGCCGGCGCACAUGCCCAUCGACAUGUUCACGGGGAGCCUGGCCAUGUACCUGUGGAGGCGUGCCGACCCACGCAAGGCGCGGGCGUUCUCGGCGGCGGCGGCGUCGGGGCUCAUCUGCGGGGACGGGCUCGGGAUCCUGCUGUCGUCGGUGGUGGCGCUGACGCACGCCAGGGCGCCCAUCUGCAUCAAGUUCGUGUCGAGCAGCGACAACGUGAGAUUGGACGCCUUCCUGGCGACACUGCCAAAGAUAUCAUAGCAGCUUCCUCUUCCUUCUUGGGAUGUUUGUAAUUUUUUCCUAGGGGACACCAUAGCUGUUGUGUUGCAUGCACUUGUAAUCGGGAUUCAGUCUGGUCGAAUUUACAAGUGAAUGCAAUUUCAAUGCACAAUAUACCGUGUCUGAGCACUGUCUGUUCUGUUCGCAGAUAAGACUUCAAUUUGAUUAAUUCCUAGUUGAUAUUAAAUUGAUCUUGAAUUGCAGGUCAAUUUUUUUUUAGCAGUGAACCUUGUCAUGCGUAAUGUUAGUGUUAAUCUGUAAAGCAAAUCGUUCAGCCAAGAAUCGAAUAAUGUUAACUGCAGGUUAAGUUGUUUUAGCAAUUUCCAAGCAGAGAACCUGAACAUAUUGCAAAGCAAAUCGUUCAGCCUAGAGUUGAAUAAUUUGUAAACCUGAAGACCAAUCUCCAUCUUCUACAGUUAACAGCUCAACAAAAUGAAGAAGAAAGUACAGCAUGCUGUCUGCAACCCUACAGGGACUGAGGUAACCAAGACUAGCAAAUAAAAAUUACAAAUAAAAUGCACUAAACUAAAACUACGUACGCAUUCAUUCAAUUCGUUCCUGCAAAUUAAUCGAGGAUUUGGAAUGAAAUGGAAAGCUAUGUGGCUGCUGGGUUUCUGAGCGUCCAGAGGAACUCCUCGACCUGGUAAUUUGUGUCUGCGGAGAAGACCCUGAGGCACAUGGGCGGGUUGAUGUUGAGCAGCGACAGGAUGGACGACGGCAGCGACCAGAUCCCGUCGCCGCAGAUGAGCCCCGACGCCACCGCCGGCGCGAAGGUGUGGGCCCGGACGCGGUCGGACUUGCUCCACAGGUAGAGCACGAUGCUCCCCACGCACAUGUCGAUGGUGAAGAAGGACCCCAGGAAGAAGGGCACCGCCAUGCCCAGCGCGCUCGGGAUGUAGUCCUGCACCCACCACCCUCUCGCCUUGGCCACCUCCUUGAGCGCGCAGAUGGCGACGGCGAGGAGGAAGAAGGCGAGGCAGAAUCGGAGGCAGUACUUGGGCAGCUGGUUCCACCCGUUCACCCCCAGCAGCGCGAUGCCGCGGUAGAUCUUGGCGUACGGCGCCGGGUAUCCUUCCUCGAGGCCGACGUCGUACGCCUUGUAGAAGAUCCAGAACACCACCGGGCUGAUGAUGCAGCCGAGCCCCGUGCCCAUGACCUGGCUCACGAACAUGGACCGCGGCGAGGUCAGGGUCAGGUACCCGGUCUUGAAGUCCUGGAUGAGGUCGGAGGCGGUGGAGACGAUGCCCAUCAUGAGCCCGCACGCGGCGAGGCCGGCCACCACGCCGCCGUCCUGGGACCCGAUGCUGGCGCCGAAUAUGAAGAUGGCCAGCUUGCCGUAGCUGCUGGAGAGGGACCAGUCGGUGAGCCCCGUGCCGUAGGCGUUGCAGAAGGCGAACACCGGCGCCACCACGUACGCCCACACCACGUGUUUGGGCUUGAGCUGCCGGAAGAUGUGCGGGAUGGCCACCACCGAGAUGGCGGCGAGGAGGAUGUACGCGCCGGCGGCGAUCGACGUCGGGAUCUGGUCCUUGAGGAACACCUGCGUCCGGCGGCGGUCGUCGAAGCUGAGCGCCUGGCGCUCGCUGAUGUCGACGCCGGCGAAGGGCUUGGCGGCGGCCUCGGCGGGCUUGGUCCGCUUGAGGUACAUGUCGUAGGACGUCCGGACCAGGAUGGAGAGGAAGUUGAAGAGGCCGUCGCCGAUGAUCAUGGCGAUGGAGAUGAAGAUCUGGUAGCCGUUGAGGCCGUGGAGGCUGCUCCGUGGCAGCUCGGCGUCGUACCAGAGCCCACGCUUGCUCUCGAUGUAGGGCCACAUGAGGCCCCACGACACGACGGACCCGAGCAGCAGCGAGAAGUUGAUGAUGUAGGGGCAGAUCAUCCCCACGCCGACGUACGUCGCCGAGAAGUCGAAGAAGAAGCGCCGCCGGUAGGCCUCCAUGCCGAAGGUGGGGAAGGAGCUGAAGCCGCACCCGGGCCCCGCGGAGUAGAACCACUGGAAGAGCGACCAAAGGAAGCUGCCGGCGAAGGACUUGAAGAGGAUGGACACCUGCUGCUUCGCCUGGAUCGCGCCCUGCGGCGUGUGGAAGCUGUUGAUCAGGUGCGCCGUCGCGGAACCGCUCGGGUACGUGAGCUUGUAGCUGAUGAUCAUGAUCUUGCGCAGCGGCACGAUGGAGAAGAGGCCCACGAAGCUGACGAGGAAGAGGAAGGCGAUGAUCCGCCCCAGCGACGGCUCCUCCACGUUGAUGCUCGUCUUGGCCUCGUCGAAGCCCUCGGCGAUCUUCUUGCUCAUGCCAAGGAUGUACGUGCCGAACCCACCUGCAUCAAUGGUUGCAUAUAUACAUAUGUGUAAAUAUACAUACAUGUAACUGCAUGCUGAUAAAAAACCACCGGCGCCGGCACCGACCGCUGAAGGCGAUGCUGGAGCAGGAGAUGACGCACGUCUGCACGACGGUGUUCUCCUGGCGGGUGAAGGGCUUGGGGAAGAUGCCGCAGCGCUCCAGCGCGCUGGUCCACGUCUUCAUGAGGAAGAAGGCCAGAAGGCCCGCCGACAUGUUGAGCGACGGCACGAUCCCCGACGUCAGGUUCAGCUUCAUGACGAUGAAGCUCAGGAACAGCCCCAGCGCCGUGCUCACCACCACCGAGCGCACCGUGAUCUGCUCAGACCACGCCGGGAGCUUCUCCCGCUCGAACGCCUUCUCCGUCGACAGCGCCUCGCGCGCCGCCGCCUCCGACGACCCCUCCGCCAUCGAUCGCCCACCUAGUCCCUCGUUGCUGGAUCGGCAAUGCAACAGUGUCGUUGCUGGAUGAUUGGAUUGGGUCCGAUUCGAUUCCCCCGGCCGGCCGGACCGGACGAUCGAAGAAACCGGAGGAGCUGAUCGAGGAGGAGAGAAAGCAGUGCAUGCAGAAGGGGGAUUCGACGAUUAGCAGUGGAUCGAGUUAAUUAGUGGCUGAGAGGUCUCUCUAACUUCUUUCCCUAAUGAUAACAAAGAAAUAAAAGGUAAUGGCAUUGGUUAACAUAACAAGGCACUGAGAGCCAGAUGUUGCAAGGAACAGUGCUGAUUUUUUUCCCUUGUAAUUUUAUUUUUACAAUAAACUAAUAAUAUGAAGAGUUUCUUGUGGCCACUUUCCAGGGCGAGUAAGCGGAUGGUCGUCAUGCAAUCUCGUCCACUGCAUGCCUACAGUUCAGUGGUGAAGCUGCUAAUUUUGGCAGGGUCAUGGCUGCGUACGUGCUGCCUUCUUAGCGACGAAAAUUUUAAUAGUAUAAUAAUUAAUCAACCUCUUAAAGUAUCCUAUCAAGAGGGUUUCGUGGUAUUUGGUUAUCACGUCAGUCUAACACACUGAAGGUCUCCGGUUCAAGUCCGGGCGAAGCCAGUUUUUUUCUAUUUUUUUUUCCUAAUACCUUCUGUUUUGUCAGCCAUUAUACUUUUUGAACGAAUGUCUACUGUAUCUACUACAUUUUUCCCUUUCAUCGAACAAUACCUAUUCUUGCCUUGUUACACUUGCAAUUUCUCUGACACGGUUCCAGUGACUCUCCUGCAGAAUUAGCUGCACGCAGCCAUGGAUACCAAGAUUAGAUACCUAAUGUUAUAUGACAUGUUUGUCAAACAAAAUGACAAACCAAAGUAAAAAAAAAUAGAAACACGAAGACAAAAAAAGUAGAGUGGAAUGCAAAAAGGAUACAAGAACAUGGUUGAAGCUCCUUUAUCCUGAAUAAUAUGAAUUGGAAUGAGACCAGCACCAGUUGGCACAAAGUUGUCAGGCAGCCAUAACCAACACCCCGUAGAACAGAAGUUUAGUCACUCAACUUGAGAACCUACAAAACAAACUUCAUUUCCACGCAAAGCCAUUUUUUUUUGAGACACAUGCCUUUUCCCAAAUGCAAGCUUCACGUACUGACAAACGAUCGGUAAAAGCAUUCUCUGUCAGCAAUCCAGCAUGCACUUACAGAUUACGGCAAUAUUGGUCACUCGAAUUUGUAUGCACAUUACAUAUAAGUAUAUAACUAUAAGCACGAGCACAAGCAUAAUGCUAAUUAACUCCAAAAGUUAAAAGAGCACGGUAUGUUGCAUCUGAUGGAAAAUGUCCAACACUCGUAUUCGCGUCAUCUGUGCCGCUGGAGGGUUAACUGCCAUACAUAUUUACCAAACUGGGACAAAUAUAAGACAACACAAAACAAUCAGAUGCACAUGGAUCCUCAUGAGUACACCCUCUUCUGAAUAAGCAACGCCAUCCUCAAAUCAGGCAGUGAUGUCAACAUCUUCGGCACACCACCACAAGACUAAGCAAAACCUUCAAUCAAUCGUCAUCCUUGAACUCCCUGAUCAGCCAGUCAAGAGUGAAAAACCUUUACACAUCUCCUUUAUCAAAGUUUCAUCAUACUGUCUACUUAACUACUUUCAUUUGGAACAUCAUUUAUUAACCAAAACUUUAGCCAUAGAAGAAAGAACAUAAAGGAUCCUUCAAUUUUUAUGGACACAUUUCAAAGGAAAAAGGGAAAUGAACCACAAUUGAAUAUCCAGCAGCUGCUUUUAUUUUCUCUACGAAGUGACAAGUUCCGCACCAUUCACUCAAACAAUAUGGGCUAAUCUGAGAGAUGAAAUUUUUCCACCUCUACUACACGGAGGGCCUCAUCUCAUGCACAAUUUCAUCUUUUUGUGAUGGAGAUGUAUGGUUUCAUAAUUUGGACGUGUGAAACAUGAUUUUAAUUUUGGUAUUUCAAAAAUGGUGCCCACAUUUUUGUUAACACGAACAAUAAGGUCACCAAUUUAUAAAAGGAAACACAGAUGCUUAAUUACAUCAAAAAACCAUUGGAUAAGAGCAUAUUACCUGCGGUCAAGAUAGCGUGGUUGGAUCCCUGAGCCUUGGCACGUGGUGCAUGUCAAAGAGCCGAUGCCAUCGCAGUUGACACACUUUGAUUCUUCAGUCUCGCCUGCGCCAAGUACUACCGUAACAAUGCCCUUCCCAGUGCAAAACCUGCAUACCUCUGGAAAAUCAACGAUUUUCUGUUCAAUAUUCUGGACUGCUGGUGGAUGCUAAUAAAAAUAGUAAUAAAAAAAAAGAGAAUCAGCAUAGCUACAAAAAGGCAGUACUGUUGUAUUGCACAAUCAAUCCAUGCCCAAGGCAUCAUCUAUUCUCAUGCAUCAUGGCUAGUUCACUGAAUCUGAAUGUAAUCCAUGACUAGGUUUUUUUUAACCAAGUAGGCACAUGACCUCAAGUAACCACCACCACAACAUUGUGUUGCAACACUCAGCUGCAUGCAUAAUGCCAAUUACACUAACCAUAUAGUAUGUUUGAAAUGGAAAACAGAAGGGGCAAAGUCGAGGCAUCAAUUGUAAGGUUGGGGCAUAAUCAGGACAUACGCGCGCCAGAGCCGCUGCAGGGGAAGCACGGCUGUGUAUUCUCCCUCUUUGACUGCAUGCAUAGAAGAACAAGGCAUCAAAAACUGACUUUUUCAUUGAAUUAAAUUGAAUAUACAGUCAAGUAAUUAUGCCAAUCGUCUCCUAGCUAAAUUUUGCUUCACUAUUCAUAGUCGUUUGUUGAACAAGAGCUUGUGAAGCAAAGAGUCUAGUUAAUUGAAGAGCGAGAUGGGAAGAGAACUGACGGCAUUGUCGAUUUGGGUCUCGUAGAAGACGGGAACGCCUAUCCCGACGGCGAUGCUGACGACGCCCACCGAUAUGGCCACAAUCUGGAGCCACCAAGAAAGAGAAAUCAAUCAGACCCCGCGAGGGGAGAAGAGAACCAAGGACGCGGUUGCUCCGUGUCUUUACCGUGUUCUGGUCGAGGUCGAUGGCCCGGAUGCGGGCGCACCGCCUCCGCCGGCGGGGCAGCGCCGCCACGCUGCAUGGCGAGGGAGGAGGAGUGGGGGAGAGGAAGGAGGAGUGGAGCGUGGUGAGCGGCGAGGAGGAAGAGGUGGCCAUGGCUGCGCCUGCGCUGGCUGCGGCGCGGCGCUCCGCUUCUGGUUGGUUUUGGGUCCGGAGGACAUCCCGAGCGGAGGGGCCAGGACAGUUUUGCACCGCAUGUUUUUUGCUUUCCUGUGGCUGUGGAUGACGAGGGGCAUGCGUGCUUUGGUGGGCGACGUGGCUUCACGGGGAAUGGCGGAAUGCGCACCGGCUCGCGAGUGGGGGCCCGCGCCUUCGCCGCCGCCGCCGCCGUGUCCUUUCUGAGCAGAGGGCGGCCGGAGGACCGGCGGAAGGGGCGGUGCGCAGUGCUCCCGCUUCCUUCUCUCAACUAACUAAUCAUUGUUCUAGUCAACGACCAUGUCAACAACAUUGGAAUCCAUCAGCCAAACCACGGCCGCCCCGUGCGCCGCGACGCGCGCCGCCCCGACGAUGGCAAUGGCGGGGGGAGGCGGACGAGGCGAGAGAUAUUCAGCGGGAGGGGGGGGGGGGGGUAGGAAUCCGGAGGAGGAAGAGGGUGGAUCCUCACGCGACGGCGAGGCGGCGUGGCGGGUCGCCGGAGCCGCGCCGGGAGGGGAGACCUCCGGCGGCCAUGGCGGAGGGACCAUUCUGCAAAUAUGUAGGGGUGUUUACGUAAAUAAUUGGAUCGCGACUAUUGAUCGGGGUGGAUCGCGACGGGGCUUUUCGCAGAAACGUUGAACGCCGCCAGCGUCCGAGUCUGCCGACCCCGCGCCCAUCUCCGUGUGCUCGGGCCGCCUCCGCCCGACGCCCCGCCUGCCAGGAUCCCCCCGGGGCCGACGGAGCCGCAGCAUGGAGCCAUGGAAACGACGACGCCAUGGCCGAGGAGGCCCUCCAGAGUCCAGAUCCUCCUACCUCCCCUCAGGUGGUGAUUUCAUGGCCAACGGGGCGGGGCGGUCAACGACGGGAGAUGAUCGAGAACGCACGGCCAGCGCGGAGCUCGCUCGCGGCAGCAAAGGCCGUCCACCCUCGGGAUCGCCACGCCGCGGCUCGCCGGAGCGCCGCCGCGUUCCGGCCGUUCACUUUGCGUACGUCCUUGAGCUCUCUCCGGCGUUGCAGCUAGCGUACGGCCGCCAUGGCCUCCGUUCCCUUGGCUCUGCUGAACUCCCUGCCCGCGGCGUUGGCGCCCAGAGCCCCUGGGUCCGUCCACGUCAUUGCCCGCGAUGGAGGCCGUCGUGAGCAAGAAGAACUGCCACCCGCCCAUGGCCAGCUGGGUUCUCAAGCUCCAGUCACCAGCCUGCGACGAGUAGACACAGUGGACGUCACGUCAACUCCAGGGACUUCCUAUAUUUACCAGCCGUUCGUGGCGUACAUCUUUUGACAUGGUUCUUGGAUAGUUGCAGGGAAUCGAAAAAACACGCAUACAGAAAGAGAUGUCUGUUCUUAUCGAGCAGGGUUCAGGGAACAGUAUGAACAUGUCCGUUGCGGCAUACUUUCAGUUCACAAGAACAACCAAAUCGCACGGUGAUAAACCUAGCGAAGAUGCAGCAGCUGAGCAAAGUACCUUCUCCCCAGUCCCCAGUCCCCAGACCAACAAUAUUCGGCAUGUUCGCUUCAGCUUAUUCAGCCGGCUUAUCAGCCACCAAACAGUAUUUUCCUCUCACAACAAAUCAGCCGUUUCAGCUUUUCAGCCGGCUUAUAAGCUGAAGCGAACAGGCCCAAUGCCGAUACAGACAGGGAGUUUCGCGCUGUGCUCUGCUUCAGCUGAGCCCAUGCGGCAAGGGAACAUCGAUCAUGAAGAUUCUUGGUGCAGCAGCUGAUCACCCCUUACAUGCCCAGCUUCUUGUCCUGAUCAGUAUGCUGCAGCUGGUGAACUUGACCGCUAACAUGCUUUCCAUGAAUCAUAGGGGCUGUUUGGUUUUUGCUUAUUUUUAGCACGUGUCACAUCGAAUGUUUAGAUACUAAUUAGGAGUAUUAAACGUAGACUAUUUACAAAAACCUAUUAUAUAGAUGGAGGCGAGACGAAUCUAUUAAGCCUAAUUAAUUCAUCAUUAGCAAACGUAGACUAUUCUAGCAUUUGAUGUGACCAAGGUCAUGUUUAGUUCACUCCAAAAUCCCAACUUUAGCACUAUGCAAAAAGAAGAUUCCCCAUCACAUCAAACUUGCGGUACAUGCAUGGAGUAUUGAAUGUAGACGAAAUCAAAAACUAAUUGCACAGAUUUGUUGUACUUUGCGAGACGAAUCUUUUGAGCUUAAUUAGUCAAUAUUUGGAUAAUAAUUCACAAAUACAAACGAAACGCUACAGUGUUGCUAUAAUAAUUUUAGCACCCGGGCAACUAAACCAGGCCCAACUAAAAAUUAAUUUAUGAAUAGCCUGCUGUCAGAUGAUAUAACAAUCCUCCACGAGGCAGGUCCGACACGAACGGCACAGCUGGCGUAGCUGUGUCCGUGGCGGCAGCCGGCAGCACACACAGAUGAGAUCGCCAUCUCGACCCACCACUGCACAGUCCACCCCCACACCUCGCCACGCCGCCAUCCUCUCUCCGCAAAGAUUCGAUUCCCGUCGCCCCUCCCUCCUCCUCCUCCUCCCCUCAUGGCCGGCGACCUGCGCCACCGCCGCGCGCCGCCGCCGGAGGACGGGGACGAGGGCGCCUCCCCCGCCGAGGAGUCGGCCGCCGCCGUCGAUAACGGCAAGGAGGGGGCGGGAGAGCGGAAUGGGAAGAGGGAGGCGCUCGGGUGGCUCGAGUGGGGCCGCGGCUGGAUGGCCAUCGUGGGGGAGUUCCUCUUCCAGCGCAUCGCCGCCAGCCACCUCGCCAACCCGCUCGAGCUGCCCCCGCUCGACGGCGUCUCCAUCGUCGUCACAGGCGCCACCAGCGGCAUCGGCCUCGAGAUCGCGAGGUCCCCUUCCGUCAUUUUACCUUUUUGUAUCUUCUUCUUAUGUGCUAAAAGUUGCUUAUUUGUUGAUGUAUGUGGAAAACAAGCAGCACUGCAUGGCUUUAAAAUAGCGUUAAUUCACUUAUGUGCCAACCAAAAAUUAAUACAAGUGCACUAGUUUUAGUACACGCAUGUCUCCUCUUUUAUGCACAUGCUAGUCUCUUGGUACACCAAAAAUUAAUACAAGUGCGAGGUAGUUUUCAUGAUGGUACACUCUUGGUACCUCUACAAAGGAUGGUACGACACCUGGCAACAAAUACUUCACAAUCUGACUGCGCUCAACUUGUCUACUCUGCAUCUGGCUAUGUAGUAGCUUAAAAUUCUCUGUUGUGUUGUGUUGAUCUAAAACCUUGUUUUCAUGCAUUCAGUCAAUUAGGAAAAAAACAAUCUUUCAACUGCAAUGUGUCUCCAUUUACUCACCUCCAUUUCAUACUGGAGAACUAGUCUUCUUGCCAGCUUCCAUUUUCCUUUAAUCUGUGGAAGUUUUUACAUGAAAUCGUGCUUGCACGAAACACUGUACUAAUCUGUAAAUCAGCAAGCAGGCUCCAAGUGUGAGAGGCUUGCAUUGCAUCUUGUUCUGAAGGUGAUACUAAUCAGGAUCUUUUUACCUUCAUGAUCGUAACAGACAACUUGCACAGGCUGGGGCACAUGUUGUUAUGGCAGUUAGGAGACCCAAAGUGGCGCAAGAGUUGAUUCAGAAAUGGCAGAAUGAAAAUUCAGAAACAGGAACACCACUAAAUGCUGAGGUAAUUUUGAAAAGGUGCUUGCUAUAGGGUCCUGGUUGAUGGAUGAGGGCUUUUAACAUGCUAAGUAUAUUUUAUACAGUGUGACCUGAUUGUUUUGUUGCCUCCUGGCAUUUCUUUUCCAAUUUGAUGCACUGCCAUUGAUUUGAGCUUCUGAUUUUAUCGUAUCAAGAUGUAUGCCCUUAACCAUUUAUGUUGUCCAAUGGGGUGGGGGGGGGGGGGACUACUUUUGUUGCCUAUAUUUAUGCUCACACUCGACAUCUAUAAUCAAUCACAAAAUAUGCAUACCUUUAUUGGUGUAGACGAAAGGCAUGCUUAUAACUUUGUUUGUCAUAACUAUUGAUUUGGUUUAGCUACAAGGUAUUUGAUGUUUCUUAAAUAUUACUCUUUAAGGUGAUGGAGCUUGACCUGCUUUCCCUUGAUUCGGUUGUAAAAUUUGCUGAUGCUUGGAAUGCUCGUAUGGCACCCCUACAUGUGUUGAUCAACAAUGCUGGAAUCUUCGCUAUAGGAGGUAUGUUUCAUCAUUAACACAAUCCUUUGGAUGUUGACCUUCUAGGAUUCGUUUAUGAUGAUGAGUUGUAUCAGAGAUAACCAGCUCUUUCGCUUUCAUGUAGAACCUCAGCGUUUUUCAAAGGAUGGUCAUGAAGAACACAUGCAAGUAAACCAUCUUGCACCUGCAUUACUGGCGAUGUUGCUUAUACCCUCCCUUCUCCGUGGUUCUCCCAGCAGAAUUGUUAAUGUUAAUUCAAUUGUGAGUUCUUCUGUCACCAAUUCUGCUCUAGUGUGCAGUUUUCUACCAUGAAUGCAAUCGAAUAUUUAUCCAAGCCCAAACAUUUUGAAUUCUGAUGUCAAUUUGAAUUCAACUAACUUGUAAUUCUACAGUUUUUCUUUUGUACACUAACAGCAUCCCACAUGUAUGCCUCCUAUUACAGAUGCACACUGUAGGUUUUGUUGACGCUGAAGAUAUGAACUUGAGAAAGCGGAAAUAUAGAAGUUGGUUGGGAUAUUCAAAUAGCAAGUUAGCGCAGGUAUCAUAUUUUUUUUAUAGAUUGCUAAUAAAAUGCCGUUCCCCUUUUGUUCUCCAACUGUUUUUUCUUCUCUUGAUCCGUUCUAUCAUAACAGUGCUUUAACCUAUACAUGUAUGCAUACUAUUUCAUGUUGGUUAGGUCUGAACUAUUCUUUGUUUCACUCUCAGGUAAAAUUUAGUAGCAUGCUUCAUAAGAGAAUCCCUGCAGAAGCUGGCAUCAAUGUUGUUUGUGCUUCCCCUGGGAUCGUCGACACGAAUGUUGUGAGUUCAACUUCCAAUUCGUUUUUUCUCUAAUCCUCCAAUCGUUUGUGCUGUUUCAUGAGGUGAAUUCUUAUAACAUAUCUGCAUACCCAACAUUCACAUUUGAGAAAUAUAUAAAGGCUUGGAAUUAUCCCUUUUGAUUAAUUGAACACAAUGACAGAUGAAGAAAAACCUUAUUUAAAAGGUGCAUAUAUUACUGGAUAAGUGGUUCACAUGUACAACGUAUCAAACCAUUCUUCUUUUCUUUUGUCUGUUUCUUCGCAAAAUGUUGACACUCAUUGUAUGCGACACAGGCGAGAGAUCUUCCUAAGGUUGUUGUAGCUGCCUAUCAUUUGAUUCCCUACUUCAUAUUUAAUGCUCAAGAAGGUGAAGUUAUUGAACUUCUGCUGCCGCCUUCUGUCAUUUAACAACAUGUACAUCUUCUGAUAUACAUAAAUAUUACGUUUUGUAUGCAAUUCAGGUUCUAGGAGUACACUAUUUGCAGCAUCUGACCCCCAAGUUCCAGAAUACUGUGAGAUGCUUAAGUCUGAAAACUGGCCUGUCUGUGCUUGCAUCUCAUACGAUUGCAAUCCAAUGAAUGCAUCUGAAGAGGCACACAACCUUGAAACGUCGGAGCUGGUUUGGGAGAAGACACUUGAGAUGAUUGGCCUUCCGCCAGAUGCCCUGGAGAAGCUCAUCGCUGGGGAAUCAGUUCAGUGUUGUUAUGGUCAACAGGAGGCAGAAUAGAAUAUCACACAGAGUCAAAUCAUACCGCUUUUAGUUUGCAGUUAGUGGUGGUUUGUUCCUGUUCUUGAUUAGAGCACCUUUGUUGUAUCUUUCUGAUCCUGAAUUUGAAGGGGGAAAACACACUGAGGAAGAGAGAGAAGAAAACUGAGUUUGUUAAAAGUUAUGCAUCUUUGUUCUAGUUUGAGGUAAUGGGGAGGAUUUUUUUUAAUUUGCGCAAAAAGGAUAUUGUAAAGAGUUGUAGAAAUACAUUUCCCCUGUUAUUUGUGAUCACUGAUCAAUGAUAGUGCUAUACUUGAAACAAGAAUUGAAGAGAUACCUAUUCGGAGUUAACAUAGCAAUAUAUAUAUUUUUUUGCGGUGAGCUCACUCCAAGUUCAGAUAUGUUUCCUUGGGGGAACAACUUGAUUUGUAGUAUCGGAGACACAGCCAACUCAUUGAUCAGCUGUAUGUGCAUAGAUGGGGAUCCAGGGAUGAUUUAACUUGUCACAUUUAUUAUUCCGCUGGGCAUGUGCUCACAUGCUAACUCUGACGAGUACUAGCAGGCCAAUACAAAAAUUGCUGAUGCUCAAAGCAGAACCUUGGAAAACCAAGAUCAGCCAGACAGCUUCAGGCUUCAGCAGAUCAUGCUCACAGAUGAUGAGACAGAGACAAGGUCACAAUGGAACAUUUGCAACUAGAGGGUUAAGAUCCAUAUUAAUUACAGACAUCGCCCUUCAAUGGAACAAGUAAGAGUUUAUAACAGCUGCUGGGAAUAACAGUAACAGCAAAAACACGACCGGAGUUGCAAACUUCUUUCCUCUCCAGGGACCUAACGGACACUCUGAUUUGCUGCCAAUGGAUGAAACGGCGCCAUGAGUCAGCAUUAUGCAGUAGCUGCACCUAAGCAUUUGGCGGCCAGAGCUUUGGAUCUUGAGUUGUGUCCACCACGGUAGGAGGCAUCCACUGCCACAUCGCCAUCCCAGGGAAUGCUGCAGGGAUUGGGGCGCCUUUGUUGGUUGGAGCUUGCUGUGGUGGUGCGAAUGGAGCAAAAGCAGCAGGAUGGUAUGCAGCUGGAUGAGGGAGAUGGGGAACAUAUCCUGUAGGAGCUGUACUGAUUGCUUUAACUUGCUGCUCCAGCCUCUCCUUUUCUGCCUUCAGUCUCACUUUCUCUUCUCGGAGCUCAUUCUUCUCCUCCUGGAAAAACAAUAUAGCAUUCCGUAAAUUAAAACCUACAAAUUGGUUCGCUGGUAGGCUCUAUAUAGAUGUAGAGGAGGUUAGACCAGUGAUCACUAAACUUGCAUAUUAAUUAUAGCAUAUCUAGAAACUAAUUCGUGGACUAAGCAAUGGCUGGCUGCAGGAUACACAAAGUGGGCAUGCCUAUGAAUUCAGUGGAACUAAGCUUGCCUGCAUGGACACUCGUGUGUAUAAGCAGAACAAAAAUAUCAUACAUUUUCAACACACAACACAAUUUUAAGAGACAUGAAGAAGUAUGUGGAGAGCAUCAAAGGUUCUGAAAUCCAGAGGAACAUUUGUAAGAAGCAUAAGUUGUAUGAACAAGAUACCUUCAGGUCCUUGAUAUUCUCUCGCAGCUUCUCGUUUGAUUCUUUAAGCUUUUCUGCCUCACCUCUAAGUUGUGCCACCAUACGAGCUGCAUCACUCAAGAUAUUUGCUUUAUCCAACUUAGCUUGCUUACCAGGAUUCAUAACUGAACUUAAUUCCAGAAACCUGCAAGUCAAAUAAUAGAUCAGAACUAAGAUAUAUGCAAGUACGUGCACCCUUUCUUCCUAGAGCAAUGGCCGAGAUGUGUAGUUUCACUUUCACUGUACCUGUCAUUCAGCCUGUCCCUCCUCAUUUUCUCACGACAAGCUUUGGAUUUUGGACCAGAUGAAGAUGGUUCAUCUCUAGCCCUGCACAAAAUCGAAAUGGUUAUGUUAAACAAGUGGAUCAAGAAAAUAAUACAAGUCCGAUGCUAUGUUGGUAGUGCUACUUAUACCACUCAUGAGAAAUUAAACAAACUGUGCUGCAUGGACUUUAAGAUUGAAAAAACUUUGUAGCUUUAUGCUAUAGGGUCACUACUCGAGUAUCUGGUUAGAUUUGCAUGCUUAAUGUUCCAAAGUCGCAUUCUGAACAAUUUAGAAACCCUAAAGUUUCUGGUUACCCAUUUGGAGAUUGAACCCAUGAAAUGGAUGGGCAUGAGGCCCAAAUACAUACACAAAAAAAAGGGAUAGAGACUUCCCACAAUUCAGAUAUGUGCAAGAAAAAUCCUUCAGAGUAAGGAUAAGAAACCAUACCUUUUCCCCAAAUUAGAUUGUUCAAACCCACAAGCAUCUCCACUGACACCAUCAAUCCCAAGUCUGCCACAAUCACAAGGUAAGUACCGGAUACAACAGCAGAGAAUACAUACAGAACAUGUGCAAGUGCAGUGCGGCUGCUCAAGUAUCUGAUAAAAGAUUCUGCUGCUCAUAUUUCAAUUGAAAGAUAGGGGACACACAUCUAGGUUCAUAAUUAUGCAAAUCACUUCCAUAUAUCAUAUAAUGCAUGAUGAACAUCGUAAGAGCCUAUCAAACUAGCACACAAACAUCGAUUGCUUGCUUCAAGGUAGCUAGCAAGACUUGUAAUGAUGACAGCAACAGCACGCAGAUAAGCAGUAAAAUCUACGGACUUGUAACAAGAAUUAACAAGUAAUGUAGAAUAUCACCAUUCACAUGUAGUAUCACAGGAUUUGCUUAGAUGCACCUAUGAACCAACUAGCACCGCAGUUACCUAAGCAUCAAAUGCACAUAUCAAAUUCAAUCUACCCCCAGGCACAAGGACAAGAGAAAUUCCCCAAAUUCGCAUAAACCAAGACCGCAGAUUAGGUUACAGAAUUGCGGAGACUCAAAACUGUUUCCUGCCAUAUCAUAAGCCUCCUUUCUUUUUGAGACUACAUCACCCAAAUCAAUUAGCAUAUAAUUUAACACCGCCCACAAAAUUAAAAAACCAUCCGCAGCGACAACGACCGCGAUAGUAUAAAAUCUACGAACCACACCAUAAACCGACAGCAAUCUAGUACUACACCUACAAGAAAGAAUCGUUCCGG
rnacentral:lncRNA from 1 species